rnacentral:rRNA from 1 species
GACGAACGCUGGCGGCGUGCCUAAUACAUGCAAGUUGAGCGCUGAAGGUUGGUACUUGUACCAACUGGAUGAGCAGCGAACGGGUGAGUAACGCGUGGGGAAUCUGCCUUUGAACGGGGGACAACAUUUGGAAACGAAUGCUAAUACCGCAUAAAAACUUUAAACACAAGUUUUAAGUUUGAAAGAUGCAAUUGCAUCACUCAAAGAUGAUCCCGCGUUGUAUUAGCUAGUUGGUGAGGUAAAGGCUCACCAAGGCGAUGAUACAUAGCCGACCUGAGAGGGUGAUCGGCCACAUUGGGACUGAGACACGGCCCAAACUCCUACGGGAGGCAGCAGUAGGGAAUCUUCGGCAAUAGACGAAAGUCUGACCGAGCAACGCCGCGUGAGUGAAGAAGGUUUUCGGAUCGUAAAACUCUGUUGGUAGAGAAGAACGUUGGUGAGAGUGGAAAGCUCAUCAAGUGACGGUAACUACCCAGAAAGGGACGGCUAGCUACGUG